UUUUUUUCCCAAGUUUUGUCCUUAUUCCCAGAGCACUCCCGCUUUCUCCCAGCUCCGCCUAAAUGCUAUUCCAAGAUGCCCAGAUCCCGCCCCAACAAUGCUCCACCCACUCUGGUUGUUCCGCGUCUAGGGUCCCACCCUCAACCUCCCGUAGAUACAGGCGAGGGGGGUCCCAGGCCACGCCUCCUCCGUAUUAUUCCUCCAUCACAGCUUUAGUUCUUUGCCUAUUUCUCUCUUGCGAUCCGCCUGCUCGGCCCUGCAACCGUGUGUGACUGGAAUUCCUAGGCCACGCCCCCCAUGAGCGACCCGUCUCAGCGUCUCUUUGGCCUUUUUCUUUCUGGUGUUUUUUUUUUUUUUUUUUUUUUUUAAGACAGGCUCUUGCUCUCUUGCUCUCUCACCCAGGCUAGAGUGCAAUGGCGCGAUCUCGGCUAACGGCAACCUCCGCCUCCCAGAUUCAAGCGAUUCUCCUGCCUCAGCCUCCUGAGUAGCUGGGAUUACAGGCAUAAUUUUUGUAUUUUGUAUUUUUUUUAGUAGAGACGGGGUUGUGCCAUAUGGGCAAGGCUGGUCUCGAACUCCUGGUCUCAAGCGAUCCGCCCUCUUCUGCUUCCCGAAGUGCUGGGAUUUCAGGCGUGAGCCACCGCGUCCAGGCUUUUUGGCCUACUUUUAUCCUGGGUCCCCGUCCCUGGGACCAUGAGGCGCAACCUAACCCACCCCUACGGCCAAUGCCUGGCUAAGACGUCACUGUUGUUCCCAGGCCACGCCCACAUCGCGCUCAGCACUGCCUCUGGCCUGCCUGCUGUCUCCUUUCUGAGAGAGCCUCUAAACUGAAUUUCGGACUCUUCCUACACAAAGCACUGCCCCUCGUGGUUCUACCCGGGCACUGCCUUUCUGGGUGCCUCUGUUUUUUCCUGAACAUCCUUGGAGGGCAGGGGGUGGGUUCUGCUCGUGGAGACAUCCUUCGUGUUGCUCAUUCCCCCACCAGGUGGCCCUGCUGCAGUUGAUGGAGACGCCAGAGCUGGCGGGGCAGGAGGACGCUGUACGGAUGCAGCAGCUGAAAAUGAAGUGAGCGCUGCUGCCCAAGCCGCCUGGCUAUGCUCGAUUUGCACCAGGGUUGGCACGGUCAGGACGCUGCCAGCAGAGGAACCCUCUGCCAGUGCACAAUGGUGUUCUCACCUGGUGGCCCUCAGAUGUACACUUCCCCAGAGGGCACAGCCGUGAAACUUCACAUCAGUUUCGCUGUGCAUUGCUGGGACACUGCUGUAUACCUCGACACAUGCCAAUCCUGCACACGUGGCUGUCCGUGGAGCUUGGACAUGCCCCACUGAGCACAGACCUUCAGAUGCCUGUCCUCAGCCCCCAAGCACACACACUCAUGUACACACACAUUUGACAAAGUCACACUUCAUAACCUCCUAAUGGUACACACCCCACCAAGAUGGCCUUUUCUUUUCUUUUUUUUCUGAGAUGCAGUCUCACUCUGUCACCAGGCUGGAGUGCAGUGGCGCGAUCUCAGCUCACUGCAACCUCCGCCUCCCGGGUUCAAGUGAUUCCCCUGCCUCAGCCUCCUGAGUAGCUGGGACUACAGGCGCGUGCCACCACGCCCAGCUAAUUUUUUGUAUUUUAGUAGAGAUGGGUUUCACCAUGUUGGCCAGGAUGGUCUCGAUCUCCUGACCUCGUGAUCUGCCCACCUCAGCCUCCCAAAGUGCUGGGAUUACAGGCGUAAGCCAGCACGCCUGGUCCUUUAUUUUCUUUUCUUUUUUCUUUCUUUUUUUUGAGAUAGAGUCUUGCUCUGUCACCCAGGCUGGAGUGCAGUGGUGCGGUCUUGGCUUACCGUAACCUCUGCCUCCUAAGUAGCUUGGAUUACAGAUGCCCGCCACCAUGCCUGGCUAAUUCUUGUAUUUUUAGUAGAGACGGGGAUUCGCCAUGUUGGCCAGGCUUGUUUUGAACUCCUGACCUCAGGUGAUCUGCCUGCCUCAGCUUCCCAAAGUGCUGGAUUACAGGCGUGAGCCACCAUGCCCAGCCCAGAUGGCCUUUUCUCUCAGCCCACUGUGACCUAUGGGGCCACCCCUUCUCCCUAGCACCUAAGUGUUCCCUCUUGCUGCUAGUGCUGCCUGGAGGUUUGGCGGCGGGCAGGAGGGCCUGGGGCUCACCACAGCCACAGCCCUCUUGCAGCUUCGCGGCAGCAGCUAAUUCACCCCAUCUGGGUUUUAUUUAUAGUUCCCAUCCGCUCUUGUAGGGUAAUUAAAACCAUGGAGGCGAUCAGCGAGGUUCUCCAGGACCUUAGGUUUGAUGCGGAAUCUGCCGAGUGAUGGCGGCUCCCCAGGGAUGCGCCGAGGGAGAUGGGAAACGGGGCGGAUGGCGCCCAGCCCAGCCCUAACUGCCAGCUGGCUGGGGUUGCGCCCCACUGCGCUGCUGACCUUCCUGCAGUUCCAGACACCUCCCACAAUAAAGAGCUCCUCCUCUGU
rnacentral:lncRNA from 10 species